GGGUGCUUGCACCUGGUGGCGAGUGGCGAACGGGUGAGUAAUACAUCGGAACAUGUCCUGUAGUGGGGGAUAGCCCGGCGAAAGCCGGAUUAAUACCGCAUACGAUCUACGGAUGAAAGCGGGGGACCUUCGGGCCUCGCGCUAUAGGGUUGGCCGAUGGCUGAUUAGCUAGUUGGUGGGGUAAAGGCCUACCAAGGCGACGAUCAGUAGCUGGUCUGAGAGGACGACCAGCCACACUGGGACUGAGACACGGCCCAGACUCCUACGGGAGGCAGCAGUGGGGAAUUUUGGACAAUGGGCGAAAGCCUGAUCCAGCAAUGCCGCGUGUGUGAAGAAGGCCUUCGGGUUGUAAAGCACUUUUGUCCGGAAAGAAAUCCUUGGCYCUAAUACGGUCGGGGGAUGACGGUACCGGAAGAAUAAGCACCGGCUAACUACGUGCCAGCAGCCGCGGUAAUACGUAGGGUGCGAGCGUUAAUCGGAAUUACUGGGCGUAAAGCGUGCGCAGGCGGUUUGCUAAGACCGAUGUGAAAUCCCCG
rnacentral:rRNA from 1 species